UACGUAGGGGGCAAGCGUUAUCCGGAUUUACUGGGUGUAAAGGGAGCGUAGACGGCAGGGCAAGUCUGGAGUGAAAGGCAGGGGCCCAACCCCUGGACUGCUCUGGAAACUGUCCGGCUGGAGUGCAGGAGAGGUAAGUGGAACUCCUAUUGUAGCGGUGAAAUGCGUAGAUAUUAGGAGGAACACCAGUGGCGAAGGCGGCUUACUGGACUGUAACUGACGUUGAGGCUCGAAAGCGUGGGGAGCAAACAGG
rnacentral:rRNA from 1 species